rnacentral:rRNA from 1 species
UACAGAGGGGGCUAGCGUUGCUCGGAAUCACUGGGCGUAAAGGGUGCGUAGGCGGGUCUUUAAGUCAGGGGUGAAAUCCUGGAGCUCAACUCCAGAACUGCCUUUGAUACUGAAGAUCUUGAGUUCGGGAGAGGUGAGUGGAACUGCGAGUGUAGAGGUGAAAUUCGUAGAUAUUCGCAAGAACACCAGUGGCGAAGGCGGCUCACUGGCCCGAUACUGACGCUGAGGCACGAAAGCGUGGGGAGCAAACAGG